rnacentral:rRNA from 1 species
CCCUGAUACUUUAAGUAUCCUAAAGGGUUGUUGGAGACUACGACGUAGAUAGGCAGGGUGUGUAAGCGCUGUGAGGCGUUGAGCUAACCUGUACUAAUUGCCCGUGAGGCUUAACCAUACAACACCCAAGGGGUUU